GACAGAAGUAAUUGUCUGUUCAAAGUCAGCAGGAAGUGUGAAAGGUGUUACUAAAACUUCCAGAAAAGAUGAUAAAUAAGAGGUCCACCAAGAGAGCUGAAAGGCCAGGGAUACUUCUUUGUGCCCACUGCCUACCAGAGUUCCCAUGAGAAUGGCAAAAAAGUGUACAGAAUGCAUCAAAUCAGUAUAGAAUGUUUAAGCAAACAUGAACCAUGCCUUCAAGCACUUGUGUGUAUGUGGCAUAGUUACAAAAACCUGUUCAGGGGAGGAGAGCACACUCUUCCAUGGUGCCCAUGAUUGGUCUGAGCAACCCUGUUCAUCGUAGCAAUUCUUUCAGAAGUAUCUGUUGAAAUCGGUGAUUUUUGGCACAUUAUUUCAACAAAACAAUUUAUGAGAAAAUAAUGUGUGAGAAAAUUGCUUGAAAUGCUGGCUGCCUUCAGUUCAAGUAAAGUGCAAAUAUCACCCAAACAGUUUCUGAUACAUUUGUGGAAAAUAUAUUACAGUUUCACAAAGGAGAAACAUCACACAAGCUAUUCAAAGACUUUUCAAGAUAACCAUCCUUAAUUUUGAAAAGAUAGACUAGAGGGAAGGCAACUAACUAGUCAACACCAUCCAAUGGCUGAAAGGACUGUGAAGACCAAGGUCUGGAGUUGGGGAGUUUGUCAUUCUUCAGUUGAUAGUUUGAAGUGUUGCUGAUCCAGAGAAACUCCACCUAGCAUCUAAUUGAGGAUGUCCGUCCACCACCCAAGCUUUGUAAACAUAUAUGUACAAAUAGCACAGGAGUAUCAUCAUUGUAGUGAAAAAAAACGAAUAAAAUUAACCCAUCCAACUAGUGAGUUUCAUAAUAAUGCAUAUUACCAUUUGUGCCAUUUCACUGUUUAUAGUUGAAUUUAACAAUUUUUUGAUGUGAAAUUUUGUGUGUAGAUUUCCUAAAAUAUUGCCUUUUGCACACAGUACAAAUUGUCUGCUUUUUGUUUCUUCAUUUGAGAAAUUCUAAACCUAUUACUAAAUUGUUUGGUUUUACAGUGAAUUUAUUUAAGUGUCCAUAUUAACAUGAAUGUAAAGUUGCAAGUAUGUUAAUCAUUCAUAUGAUAAAAGUUAGAUUUAUCACCUAUAAAACUUAUUGUUCAGUAGUUACUAGAUCUUUU
rnacentral:lncRNA from 1 species